UUAGGGCUAGCCUCAAGGUGAGAGAUACGGAGGUAGAGCACUGAAUGUCCUAGGGGGUAUUGCACCUACCGAAGACUAUCAAACUCCGAAUGCCGUCAUCUUAUACUUGGGAGUCAGACUGUGGGUGAUAAGAUUCAUAGUCGAAAGGGCAACAGCCCAGAUCGUCAGCUAAGGUCCCUAAAUGUAAGUUAAGUGGUAAAGGAUGUGGGAUUGCACAGACAACCAGGAUGUUGGCUUAGAAGCAGCCACUCAUUCAAAGAGUGCGUAAUAGCUCACUGGUCGAGUGAUCCUGCGCCGAAGAUUUCCGGGGCUAAAACUUACUACCGAAGCUACGGCAUCAGUAAUGAUGGGUAGGGGAGCUUCCCAUACGGGUUGAAGCAUGACCGUAAGGACAUGUGGACAGUAUGGGAGUGAGAAUGUUGGCAUGAGUAGCGAGAUGUGGGUGAGAAUCCCACAGGCCGUAAACCCAAGGUUUCCAGGGGAAGGUUCGUCCGCCCUGGGUUAGUCGGGACCUAAGCUGAGGCCGAAAGGCGUAGGUGAUGGACAACAGGUUGAUAUUCCUGUACUACCGAUAACCGUUUGAGAGAAGGGAUGACACAGUAGGAUAAGCUAAGCACACUGUUGGUUAUGUGUGCCCAAGCAUUGAGGCAGUCAAAGUAGGCAAAUCCGCUUUGAUAAUGCUGGGAUGUGAUGGGGAGCGAAAUUUAGUAGCGAAGUAGCUGAUUUCACACUGUCAAGAAAAGUCUCUAUCGAGGUUAAAGGUACCCGUACCGCAAACCGACACAGGUGGGUGAGGAGAGUAUCCUAAGGCCAGCGAGAGAACUGUUGUUAAGGAACUCGGCAAAAUGACCCCGUAACUUAGGGAUAAGGGGUGCCACCAUCAGGUGGCCGCAGAGAAUAGGCCCAAGCGACUGUUUACCAAAAACAUAGGUUUCUGCUAAGUCGCAAGACGAUGUAUAGGAGCUGACGCCUGCCCGGUGCUGGAAGGUUAAGGGGAUCUGUUAGAGCAAUCGAAGCAGUGAACUUAAGCCCCAGUAAACGGCGGCCGUAACUAUAACGGUCCUAAGGUAGCGAAAUUCCUUGUCGGGUAAGUUCCGACCCGCACGAAAGGCGUAACGAUUUGGGCACUGUCUCAACAACAGACUCGGUGAAAUUGUAAUUCCGGUGAAGAUGCCGGAUACCUGCGACAGGACGGAAAGACCCCAUGGAGCUUUACUGUAGCUUGACAUUGGGUCUUGGUACUACAUGUACAGGAUAGGUGGGAGGCUUUGAAACCAGGACGCCAGUUUUGGCGGAGCCAUCCUUGGGAUACCACCCUUGUAGUACUGGGACUCUAACCAUAGGCCAUGAAUCUGGUCUUGGGACACUGUCAGGCGGGCAGUUUGACUGGGGCGGUCGCCUCCCAAAAGGUAACGGAGGCGCUCAAAGGU
rnacentral:rRNA from 1 species